GCUAGUAAUCGCGGAUCAGAAUGCCGCGGUGAAUACGUUCCCGGGUCUUGUACACACCGCCCGUCACACCAUGGGAGUCGGAAAUGCCCGAAGUCUGUGACCCAACCUUAGGGAGGGAGCAACCGAAGGCAGGUCGGAUGACUGGGGUGAAGUCGUAACAAGGUACC
rnacentral:rRNA from 1 species